UGGUUUAUGUCAUGGCUAGGGUGAUGGCCUUGUUUGAUGAUAAUGAUCCUGCUCUCUAUGUAAGGUUGUCUUGACUCUGGUCCUGGCCUCUGCCUGUUAGUUUUUCUGCAGCAAAAUGUAGAGUUUGCACCAAAACCUUUAAGAUCAGUUAGGAUUUUUUGGUUGUCAGAAACUCUGACAAACUUAAGCCAAAGGAAUUUGUUGUGAGGACACAGGUGACUCACGGAAUAAAAGAUGCUGUUAGAGAACCAGAGAGGGCAAGAAUUAGGGAAGAUCCAGGAAUCCAGGAAGCAAGAGGUACUUAAACAUCUUGUCAUGGGCUGCCUUUGAGAUUUAUAAGUAUUUUCUAUUCUUGCCUUUUGGUUAAAUUUUGUUAUGAAAAAAAUUUUGUGUCUUAACACAACUACCUUUUCUUGGCUCAUGUUUUUGUAGGUGGAAAAUUUGGUCUGGACUAAGCUGAACUUUUCUACAGAUCUGAGAUAGACCAAGCCAGGCUCACUCAUGCAUCUGCCAUCCCUGCCAGGUUGGACUAUAGAUUACAUGAGCACCUUUUGCAAGGAUGAAAUACUGUUUGGGAGGGCAAUUACUAACUGUACCUGGUCUAAAGACUCACCUGAUCAACAUAUGGAUCUUAAAGCACCAUCUGAGGACUUCUAGACUCUGAGGGUCCUAAGCAUAUGAUGAAACCCCGAGAGAUAGCUGCUACCAUCAUUUCUAUUUAACAGAUGCAAAGGAGUUGGAGAGUAUAAAGAAUAUGAAGAAGCGAAUCAAGAGAAUCAAGAAAACUGACUUUUUCUUGCCAAAACUCUGCCAACCAUUAAACGUGUGAAUGUGGCCAAGACACUGUCUUUUUGGGAGGCCUCCAUUUUAUCACUGGUAAAAUGA